GACGAAGAACGUAGCGAAAUGCGAUACUUGGUGUGAAUUGCAGAAUCCCGUGAACCAUCGAGUCUUUGAACGCAAGUUGCGCCCGAAGCCAUUAGGCCGAGGGCACGCCUGCCUGGGCGUCACACGUCGUUGCCCCCCCAUCUACUCCUUCGGGAUUGCGGGGGGCGGAUGAUGGCCUCCCGUGCGCCUCGUCGCGCGGUUGGCAUAAAUGCCAAGUCCUCGGCGACACACGCCACGACAAUCGGUGGUUGCGAAACCUCGGUUGCCCGUCGUGUGCGGUCGUCGCGCAUCGAGGGCUCGAAAAAAUUGCCGGGCUCCGGCUCGGCUUUCAACGCGACCCCAGGUCAGGCGGGGUUACCCGCUGAAUUUAAGCAUAUCAAUAAGCGGAGGA
rnacentral:misc_RNA from 1 species